rnacentral:rRNA from 1 species
CGAUAGUCCCGCUAUACCUUUCCUUUAUUUGCAAAAUCAGUAUGUAUACCGUCGUCGUCAGGUAACUUUUAAGAAUCAAGAAGUUAGCUAAAGAAUUAUUUAUAAAUUUUAACGUCAGAUCAAGGUGCAGCUUAUAAAAAGGAGAGAAUGGGUUCAAUUAAGAAUUAUAAGUAUGGAGAAAAAUUUGAAAAUUU